ensembl:lncRNA
CCCCCCCCCCCCACACACACACACACCUCUGAUUGGGGGGGUUGGGUUCAAUGCGGAAGACACAUUUCGGUUGAAUGCAUUGUUGUGCAACUGAUUAGGUAUAACCUUUCCCUACAACCAUUUUUCAAAUCUUGAGGUAGAUUUUCAAGCACAUUUAAGUCAACUGUAACUCGGCCACUGUCUUUUCUUAGUAAGCAACUCCAAGUGUAGAUUUGUCCUUGUUUUAGGUUGUUGUCCUGGUGAAAAAUGAAUCUUCCAGUGUCUGGAAAGCAGACUGAACCAGGUUUUCCUCUUAAGAUUUUGUCUGUGCUUAGCUCCAAUCCGUUUAUUUUAACCCUGUAACUCCCCAGUCCUUAGCGAUUACAAGCAUAUCCAUAAUAUGAUGCAGCUUCCACUAUGCUUGAAAAUAUGGAGAGUGGUACUUGGUAUUGUGUUCUAUUGGAUUUGCCCCAAACACACUGUAUUCUGGACAAAAAGUGAAUUGCUUUGUCACAUUUUUUGCAGUAUUACUUUAGUGGCUUGUUGUAAACAGGAUGCAUGUUUUGGAAUAUUUUUAUUCUGUACAGUCUUCCUCCUUUUCACUCUGUCAUUUAGGUUAGUAUUGUGGAGUAACUACAAUGUUGUUGAUCCAUCUUCAGUUUUCUCCUAUCACAGCUGUUAAACUCGUAACUGUUUUAAAGUCACCAUUGGCCUCGUGGUGAAAUCCCACAGCGGUUAGUUUCCUUCCACUCCGGCUACUGAGUUGGGAAGGACGCCUGUAUCUUUGUAGUGGCUGGGUGUAUUGAUACACCAUCCAAAGUGCAAUUAAUGACUUCACCAUGCUCAAAGGGAUAUUCAAUGUCUGCUUUUUUUAUUUUUACCCAUCUACUAAUAGGUACCCUUUGCGAGGUAUUGGAAAACCUCCCUGGUCAAUGUGGUUGAACCUGUGUUUGAAAUUCACUGCUCGACUGAGGGACCUUACAGAUACUUGUAUGUAUGGGGUACAGAGAUGAGGUAGUCAUUCAAAAAUCAUGUUUAACACUAUUAUUGCACACUGAGUCCAUGCAACUUAUUAUGUGACUUGUGAAGCACAUAUUUACUCCUAAACUUAUUUAGGCUUGACAUAAAGGGAUUGAAUUCUUAUUGACUCAAGACAGUUUAGCUUUACAUUUUUAAUUUGUAAAAAAAUAUAUAUAAAAAUACAUCUAAACAUAAUUCCACUUUGACAUUGGGGACUAUUGCGUGUAGGCCAGUGACCAAAAAAAGCAACAUUUAAUCAUUUUAUGUUCAGUCUGUAACACAACAAUAUUUUGAAAAAGUCAAGGGGAAUGAAUACUUACUGAAGGCACUGUAUUUAGCCCCUUGGCAUGCGUAUUUGGAUUGGACUGAGUUUGAACCCCCCCCAACUACACACACACACACGAUCUGUCUUCUUUGCUAUGCAGUGUAAUGGGCUUGAACUGAAGGCUUGCUCCUGGCUUUAUCCUCUUGACCCCUCAAAUGUAGCAGAUAAUGAAGAAAGGUGCAAAAUGUAACAAUGUUGUUCUGUAUUUUCCAACAGGCUACAUUACUUAGGUGAGGUGACCGGAAAAGAAGCAGCAGGUUUACCUCCUAUAUCUGCUCAGCCAAGCUCUGCCACAUGAAGAGAUGUACAGUAGACAAGGAAAAAUCAUGUGGAAAGGGAAGGAGGAGACUGGGUGGGUCAAACCGUUCUUGUCAAAAUACUUCCCAGCAGGAUUAUAUGGUUUGGCUAUUUUUGAAGUGUAAAGCAUUGAGGUUUUAUGUAGGUAUUUUGAUUUUCCCUGUACCGAUAGGGUGUUUUUAAAGAUUUAACUGCCACCAAAUCCAGAUCAAUCAACCGCUUUUCAGUUCAGUUUUUUUUACAUGGUCUAUUUUGGUUGAUGGGUUCCUGUUGAUUGUCUUACAUGAGAUGAGCACUCAACAACUGAGUAGAUGGUACGAAGUGUUAUUGAUGAUUCUUCAAUGAUCAGAGUACUUACGCUAUGUUCAUAUUCAGUAUCAAAGCAGGUGUCAUUGUUUACAAAGUUUAUUUUCAUUUAGAUUAUUUACUGCCAUGCCUAUGGUGAAAAUAAAGGUCAAAGGCCUUUUUGCUUCGGGGCCGCCGAGUUGGUUUCUCCCCAUAAGAUUAGCCUUGUUGCCAAUGGACAAAAUAAAAGUUUUCUUAAAGGCUUCUCUGUUGGCUCAUAGCUUCACAAUCAAUUGGAGUCUAGUUUACACACACAACUUGACUAGCCAAUCAUUUGGAGGAGCCAGCUGAGAGGGAGAGAAGUAGCAAGAUCCCCGCCAGUGAAGCAGGGGACAGCAGCAGUCUGAGUACAGAUGAUUGCUCUUGUAAGACUAGCGAGAGGUAGCUCGAGAAAGGAAGGGGUAUUUUAUACCAUGCUGAUAGGUAAGAUAUUUUUGAUCAACUUGUAUGUGUAACACUCACCUUUUGUAUAUAUGUUAGCAGUCCAUGUCACCUCUCAGGGCAAAUGAACUCACAUGGACUCCAUAGGAGUUUUAUUCCAGCAAAAUUAUUUAUUCUUAGAAAAGGAGGGCUAUAGCAGUGUUUUGGGAUGCCAAAAUAACUGAAUGAUGCCAACCUUGACUGCUACCCUUGUACCGUUGCAUUUAUGACAACAUAAGUGGCCCAAUGUCCUCAACAUUUAUCACUAGAUCUGGCAUUUGUAGUGCAUAAAAAUCUAGAAUAAAAUCACUCAUUGUUUUAAUGUUUACGUACUUUCUCUAUUUCUCUUUUCAUUUUCAGGGCUGUAAGAUGUCUGCUCCAGUGCACCUAAUCUUGCACCUCUCAUCCCUACACCUGUACUGGGAUGACCGGCAGUUGCAGGACCAAUCUUGACACCAUGGUGUCAUUUUAAAUGAACAGAAGGGACACAACGGGAAUGCUGCUGGACAGUUAUAUUUAAACUUUUGUACUAACUUUCAAUAAAUGUAGAUUAUUUUUUUAAGCGUGUGUCUUUAUUGUAUAAGCUUUGCUAUUAAGAUCAGGUAUGUUUCUAAAACAAGUAUUGUUUGUAUGUGGUGUAGCGGCAGUUCAUUCUGUAUUGUCAACUGUACAUGGUACAGAUACUAUUUUUACUUGAUUGAGAGUGUUAGACAUUUAUUUUUAUCUCCUUCAAUUUACUGAAUGUCAAAUUCCUGUUUAGGGGGUUUAACGGAAGUGGAGUAAUGAGGUGUAGAGUACCUGUCAUGUUUUCUGACAGAGGAGGCAUGAUGUUGGGAAGAAAUGCAAGAUAAGUAGGAAACCAUGCCAUGGCUCAUAACCUGGCAAGUUCAGCAGUUACCUACAGAACUACUGACACACCAGUAGGCAUACUGAAUUGUUUUAGUACAGCCUAGGCAGUUUUAUUAAUACAUAAGUAAUGUGUUCUGUGUUGUAAGGGCAUCAUUCUACCAAGGAGUCUAGACCUUUAUAAUAGUCUGCUUGCCUUGCUACCAGGGUUGUGGUUCAACGCCUCCAGCUCUCCCUUCCUACUACAUUGGUAACAGUAUAUGGCAUUGAUAAGGGAAUUUAUGUUUAUGGUAAUGACUAAAGAAUUCUACCCUGAAAUGCAAUUAUUAGAUUAUAAAAAAAUAUAUAUAUAUAUAAAAUGAAUAAUUAGACAAAUGUAAUUAUUAGAUUAUGUAACAUGUAUAAUGAAUUAGAGCGAUAAACUUCAGUCCAAUAAGGUUUGGUCAAGACAAGUAGAAGUGUGUGACUAAGAAAACACAGAGAACAAUUAAAAUAUGCAUGACGUGACCUGGUUAGAACUCUGGGAAAUUUACGACAGGAAAGGGAGUCGUGUCAAGGUCCCUCGUACAGGUUGGACUGUGCUGUAAGCCACAGAAUGAGACAUUUGUAACACUGUUUGUUUCCAUAGAGGUCCUAAUGUGUGUUUAAGCUCUCGUGUCUUCCUGCAGGUAAAAUGUAGGGCGGUGGGCCUUGCUGGAGAACAUGGAGGGCCUGUUCCUGGCAGUGGGUGAGAUUGUGGAUGGGUGUAUGCAGAGAACUCUCCUCACCCCAAAGCAGGGGUCUCUGUAUUCUCAUCACAACAGUGCCCUCUGACUCUGGCCAAAUCAACUUUUCCAUCUAGAAUAUAGGACAAUGGUAGAAGACAUGGCUGGACACUCAUACCUGGAUACUGUCCACGGCUACCCCAUCACACCAUGGGGUAGCCAAGAUAUAGGAAGACCGGAAACAAUUUGUUGGCUACCUACCACAGAGUUUACCAGUUAAAUACUCUGUUACAUAAGUUUAGGUUUCUGUGACUGGAUUGGUUCUCAGGCCAAUAUAAAUCAACCGUCCUACUAGUCUCCACCCCUAGACAAUACAAUAGCUCCUCAAUGUAAGGUUGUUUAGGGUAAGGGAGGAAGCCCAUUUUCUAAGCAUUUAGAUGUCAGUCAUUGAGAGUGAUAUGUCUUCCAUAGUCAUCCUCAGUGUAAGGCACCUGAUGCUCUUCCUCCUCAGUCAAACACCAUGGUUCUGUUUUCACUGAGUACUGUGCAUCCCGGAUGUCGACAACAUUAAAAUCAUCUGCACUGUUUCCCUCCCCCUUUUAUUUUCACGUUUACAGGGGAGAUGAUGUUCCUCUAACAAAACACACUGUGUCUCAGGUAAUUGCACUUAUUUACGACAAUCUAAUAUUUACUCAAACUUAUUAAAAUUGUAUUACAUUUCUUAUACUUCUGUAAUACUGGUAUUUAAACAUGUGUAUUUGAUAGUAAUGCGAUUUGGAUAUUAGCGAACAACAUGGUCAAGUGCUGACUGGGUGGUUUGUCAGGCUGACAAUCUUAAGCACAUUUCUAAUGCUUCCUGCUUUUUUUAUCCCUGAAAAGCCCUAAUUGUUCUGUUGGCUAUUUCAAAAAUGAUUUAAUUUCUCUCCAGCAUUAUAUUAAGCUAUUACAUGUAGUUUUAUUGUAUUGAAGAGAACAAAGGGGAGCAUUCCCAGUGUAGCUGUUAAUGAGGCUCUACUGUUAGCUAGCUGGCGUUGCUCUAUACUUGGCAGACUCUCUGAGUGCCAUGCUGAUGGAGGCUCCCAUCUGAGAGGCAUUUUACAGGCUGCAGAUGUCUGCCUCAUCCACUCUGUGCAUUAAUCUUCAUCGCCAACCCUCGGCCCGCAUGCCUCAUGGUUACUGAUAGACUUUUGUCUGCAUAAUUAAAAUGAUUAAUUUAUGUAUUGUUCCUGUAAAGUAGUAUUACUGGUUGUAAUCACACCACCACCUUUCCCUUAAAUAUCACAGUUAGAAACUUCUGUUAUUGUUUCAUACUGUAUGUUAAAGAAAAUUCUAUCUGUAGUUGAGGUGAUGGACAUUACCUAACUAUAGGUUUACCCUUAUGUUUGUUGCUAAUGAAUUGCAUCUGCAGGAUGAGGGACACUUAACCAAACUGAGUGCUUCAGUCUGCAAAAGAACAGAUGAAAUGGUCCCUACUGCGAUAAGAGUUGUCUGCCGUUACAUUUGCACCAUCACUUCCUCAUCUGAUGAUAUUCCUCUUCCUAUCCCUGUGUGUCCCAGAGAUUAUUGUACUGAAGUCUGAUUGAGCCACCAAUCAGAACCACCACUGUGGCCUUUCUAUCCUCCAUUUCCUGUGUCUCAUCGCCCAGGCAACAGUGAAGACUUAAUUUAUCUGUUUCCAUAAAUGGACACAUCCUUACUGUCUCUGGCUAGAGGUGAUCCCAAC